rnacentral:pre_miRNA from 1 species
AAAAAGGCAAAUCUUAGGUUUCCGUGCCAACGUUUGAUUAUCCGUCUUAUAUAAAAAAUUUUAUAAUUAAUAUUUUCAUUGUUGUUAGAUAAUAAAACAUGAUUAAUACUUUAUGCGUGACUUAUCUUUUUAAUUUUUUUCAUAAUUUUUUUAAAUAAGACGGACGGUGACAUGGAAACCAGGGUUUGUCUUUUU